CUCGCACACAAGCGCACACACAUACACACUCGGCCUGCACCCUUCAUAAGUGCUUUAAUGUGGCUUAUUGCAGUGUGCGGUCCCCUUAGCCGUGGAAAUAUUCGCUUGACGGAUGUGCUUUGUCGCCGGCGCUCCCCGGCGGAGGGCGGCUGUCAGGGAGGAGAUGAUAACAUUAACAGGGAGGCAAGGCGAUGACAAAUGCCUGUUAUCAGCGAACGAGGCCGGUGACAAAUCGAACGGCAGCGCCCAAGCAGCCCCGGCGCGGCGUAAUAAAAAAGAAGAUGGAUGGCACACCCAGGCAGGGCCCGCGUUAAUGCGAUUUCCACUGCUCUCCCUGACUCCCAAUUAAGGCUGGGGGGGGGGGGGGUGGAGGUGGUAGAGCGCGGGAGAGAGGAGACGGAGACUGUGCGCCUCGUGAGUGUGAGGAAGGAGGGAAGCUAAAGAUGGGAGGAGGGAAGGCUGCAAUGGAGAUGAGAAGAAGUUAAAAACGAGUGGGGAUGGGUAGAACUGACAGGAAGGAGAAAUUCUGUAGCAUAUAAAGAGGAUAGCUGUCACUAAGGAUGGGAUGAGGGACAGGAACAAAGUGGAAGAAUCACAACACAACAUGCAGCUUUAAUUGCCUGCAGACCCCAUCUGCUCCCUCUCAUCUUCUUCUCCUCGGUUUUACUCACAUCUCAAUCAGGGCCGUGUCUCACAGGUACAGCGUUGUUUUGUGUCUUUGCAGCCAGGUGGAACAUCGUUAGAGUUUUUCUAACAGCGACAGUAAUGAACAUAACCCGACACAGCAUUAGAAUAAAAAAUAACUGGAUAAAUUCUCGCUUUAACCUCCUAUCAGGGGCACCGCAUGCUCCCGUGGUUUCCUGUUGGCCCAGGAUUCAAGGGCUGCACCCUAAAUCAGUGCUUAUAAAAACAGAACUGACAGACAGCCCAUGGCGUAUAAGCAGACAGAGCUAUACAGAUGAGCUACGACUCUGUCCAGGAUGACUGUUCCAACUCAUCCUGUCCAAGGACCCAGAUGUUAUCUCUUUACUAAAAGGAUCAGCUCAGGAUAUUGAGAAAUUGCUUCAGGAUAAGGGGGCAUCUGUGCCCGAAUACCCAAGGGCUGCUGUUUUGUCACUCUGACAGUGUUUUAUAAAAGGCUGAGGAAGCUCAGAAGGCUGCAGAAACAAGCCUCAUAUAUCUCCCGCUAUUACACCCAGGCUAGAAAGAGAGGGCUGAAAUGACAAUGAAAUAUAGCCCUGGCUCAAAGGGAGAAAAAGAACAGGGUCUAAAGAGGGACAGCUGAGUCUCCCCAGGAGCCUGAAAGGGGCUGUGCUCCAAAUCAGAGACAGAUGCACAGCAGUCAGACACCAACCCUGUGCUAUACUGCAAGCGCACAGAGGUGAAAAGGAGACGAUAUGUGGUUCAGAGAGGGAAGUCCUCAGAGAGAGCAGCCUCUCGGUGCCUUUGCUGAUAUUAGUCUGAAAGAACAAGGAAGGAAAUUAGAGCCCUGCAGGAGGAAGAGAGAGGGAGAGGUGUGCUGGGGAGCUAAAAGUCCAAACUCGGCAAGGACCCUUGCAUCAUUAAGUUGUCAAGUGGAUGGGAGGCCCCGAAAUAUGACUUGGAGUUAUUGCUGGGGCCGGGCCUGAUGAUAUAAGAAUUACAGUACAUGGAUCAUGGCCGGAUCGAUAGGUAGACAAAGUCAUUAUAGAGGGGCUAGAGUUCAAUGCCUCCCUGGGGCUGCAAGCUGGGACAUAUUUAUCACUAUGGCAAUGUGUAGCACACACAACACACAGGCAUCUCUGCAUGAGUUUCUUGACCUGGUAUCUGUCUACGUUUGUCAGCAUAUUUGCUUCCUGUGAGGAGUGUCGACGCACGUGUGUUUACAGCCACAGGGUUGCAGAGGGAUAGGGAGCACGGGCAGGCCAGCAUCGAUCCUCGCUUUGCCAAGAGAAAUUAGGCAUGAAAUUAAAGCUCCCAUCAAAGGCCAGAGCUGGCAUUGUCACCUGAUCCAGCACUAUUUAUACUCCCAGGAGAUGAUGAUGAUGUCUCUAUCACACUGAUGAUAACAGGACAGAGAGUAGAGAGAGAGAGAGAGAGAGAAAGAGAGGUGGAGGCACAGAUAGAGAGUUUCUCCCCUCCAUCCACGGUGCCACUGACCCGCCAUCAUUUAUACUGCCAGCGCUCAAGUGCAAGGUUAGCACCAACCUGAGCCUCCAUAAAUCACUGCUCUGCUGGACGGAGAGAGGCCGGGGUCAACGCCUCUCACAGCCAACCUCUGCAGAUGACAGAGUAUUUAUAGAUCAGGAAGGAGAAAGGCAGGGAGGAAAGAAGAGGCAGGAUGUGUGUCUAAGUGGCAUGUGAGGAAGUGUGUGCACACAAAUUCAGAUGUGAUAGUAAAUAUACAUCUGAUAUGAGUAAACUCUUGCUGUUCUCUUGAGAACAGAGGUGUUCUCCUGCAGCCGUGUAGUCAUUGCAUGCACAGCCGACACAGAGUUGUGACAAACGCAGGAGACUGUAGGGGGAGCCCAUUAACCACAAAUCAGACCCCAUGUGUCGACUUUUCAGCUUCCUUUAUAAAAACACAUACUUCAACUUUAAUUAAAUAAAAACAUAAAGCUUUUAUUCUAUCUACCAUAAAAGACCAAAAUGUGGGAGAAAAAGAGCCCAUAUACAAGUCACUGACACAUAGAUGACUCUAUCUGUAAUACACAAUUUUAAAGUCACAUAUUUCCCAGUCAGACUCUGCUGAGCGGAGUCUCUGCCAAGUGCAGUGUUUUGACAACGGUACAGCAGGUCCAGCAUGGUGCUCUAAUGACCAGUGGCCAAAGGUUGUCCCGGCUAAACACUGGUUAUGGUCAGCCACAAGAUGACUGGGUGUCCCAGUGUCAAACUCAUUUCUGCUGCUGCAGGGUUUCAUGCAUGGCGUCCAUCUCUCCAGCAAAAAUAAACCUUGGCACAAUGCCAGAUUUUGAAGAAAGAAAAACGGUUUUCAGCAUCAACCAAUCCUGCCGCUGCCCUGAUGAUUUAAGUGUUUACUUUUAAUUCUGGAAACUACUGAAUCCCUGAAAACCCAUAAUACAAAAUUCAAAUGUUGUGUGUGUGUGUGUGUGUGUGUGUGUGUGUGUGCGUGUGAACAGUCGUAGUCUGAAGGUCAAAGCAAAACGCAUGUGAUUGGUUCAACUCCAAACGGGCUGGAAAAUUUGCAAAGACGUGCAUGAGUAACUUUGCCUUUGGCUAGCAUCUGCUGCUUUUCAGUCAUUAACAAUAUGAUGCUGUGUUUGUGCAUACAAGUGGACAGCAAACACACGACGUUUUCAAACCAUGAACCAACCCUGUAUAUGAUGUCUUUGAUGUUCGACUGUCACCUCCAUGGUGUGACAAAUAGUAAUUAAAGCAAUUAAAGUUGUCUCCUGAUACAAAAUUAAUAAUUUCCGUCUAAAUUUCUGUUUGAUAAACUUCGGUCCCAGUAACCGUACCCGGUUAGGUUCUAGUAAAUGUUUGUACCUGAAUUAUUGAUUUGAUUAGUAGACAAGAAUAUCAUUUAGCAAGUAAUAAUUUUAAUAUUAAAAAAGCUGGAUAUAUUUUGUUUUAAUUAGUUUUAUGUUUUCCUUUCUUUUUUCUUUUUUGUGGAGCAAAUGUAUACAAGCACUGAGGGGAAGUGCGGGUGAAGAGGAAUAUUUUGAAUCAAUAAAGUUUCAAGCACGGGGUAGGGAUCAAUAAAUAUAUACAUACUUCUUCUUACCCCACAUUCACAUGUAUGUGUACAUGUAUAUGCAGGUAUCUGUAUAUAUGUGUGUAUUAUUGGUGUGUUUGCUUUAUAUGUCUGAAAUAAAAGG